rnacentral:rRNA from 1 species
AGAUUGAACGCUGGCGGCAUGCCUUACACAUGCAAGUCGAACGGCAGCACGGGAGCAAUCCUGGUGGCGAGUGGCGAACGGGUGAGUAAUAUAUCGGAACGUGCCCAGUCGUGGGGGAUAACGCAGUGAAAGCUGUGCUAAUACCGCAUACGAUCUAUGGAUGAAAGCGGGGGACUCGCAAGAGCCUCGCGCGAUUGGAGCGGCCGAUAUCAGAUUAGCUAGUUGGUGGGGUAAAGCCCACCAAGGCGACGAGCUGUAGCUGGUCUGAGAGGACGACCAGCCACACUGGAACUGAGACACGGUCCAGACUCCUACGGGAGCAGCAGUGGGGAAUUUUGGACAAGUGGGCGCAAGCCUGAUCCAGCAAUGCCGCGUGCAGGAUGAAGGCCUUCGGUUAGUAAACGUGUCGUUUUGGUACGGUAACGUAAAGGUCCUUUACGUAAUACGAACGGG